CAACAAAUCCAAAUAAAAAGGGAGCCAGCAGCCCUUAAAUCCCACUACUGAGCUAUAAACAUUACAGUUGGACGACUAACAAGUGAAGCGCUGAACAGGCAGGUGAAAACAUGAAGACAGUGAUUCUCGCUCUUCUGGUCUUGGUGGUUGUGAGCCAGGGUGAAGCCCUGAGGUGUAACUGUGGAGGCGCCUCGAAAUGUUCAGGCCGUAUUGAGACCUGCUCGGGAUUUAAUCCAGUCUGCGCCAGCAUGAUCCUUCAAGCUGGAUCUCGCGUCAGCUAUUUCAAGCGUUGCAUGAAGGAAAGCGACUGCAGGCUGCUGCUUAAUACAAAUGUAGCAUCUGGCCACUGCUGCAGCACUGAUCUUUGCAACUGAUGAACUUAAAUGCAAAAUAAAAAAAUAAUCAAGCAAUACA